UCUAAGAAAUGACGUACUAAUGAUAAGGGUCGCUAACUACGUGCCAGCAGCCGCGGUCAUACGUAGGACCCAAGCGUUAUCCGGAGUGACUGGGCGUAAAGAGUUGCGUAGGCGGCGCGUCAAGCGAGUAAUGAAAUUUAUCGGCUCAACUGGUAAACUAUUAUUCGAACUGGCGUGCUCGAGAGUAUCAGAGGUCGCUGGAAUUUCUUGUGUAGCAGUGAAAUGCGUAGAUAUAAGAAGGAACACCAAUGGCGUAGGCAGGCGACUGGGAUAUUUCUGACGCUAAGGCACGAAAGCGUGGGGAGCGAACCGGAUUAGAUACCCGGGUAGUCCACGCCGUAAACGAUGAAUGUUAACUGUCGGGGGUAUCGACCCCUUCGGUAGUAAAGCUAACGCGUUAAACAUUCCGCCUGUGGAGUACGGCCGCAAGGCUAAAACAUAAAGGAAUUGACGGGGACCCGCACAAGCGGUGGAGCGUGUUCUUUAAUUCGAUGCUAAACGAAGAACCUUACCCAGGCUUGACAUCCUCUGAAUUACUCCGAAAGGAGUGAGUGCUUUAUUGAACAGAGUGACAGAUCUUGCAUGGCCGUCGUCAGCUCGUGUCGUGAGAUGUAUGGUUAAGUCCAUCAACGAGCGCAACCCUUAUCGUUAGUUGUAUUUUUCUAGCGAGACUGCCUCUGUAAGGAGGAGGAAGGAGGGGAUGAUGUCAGGUCAGUAUUAGUCUUACGUCUGGGGCUAGAAACGCGCUACAAUGGUCAGUACAACGGGCAGCGAAACAGCAAUGUGAAGCAAAUCCCAUCAAAACUGAUCCCAGUUCGGACUGAGGGCUGAAACUCGCCCUCACGAAGUCGGAAUCGCUAGUAAUCGCAGAUCAGCACGCUGCGGUGAAUACGUUCCCGGGUCUUGUACACACCGCCCGUCAAACCAUGAAAGUCAGGAGCACCCGACGCCCGAAUUUAUUUCG
rnacentral:rRNA from 1 species